rnacentral:rRNA from 1 species
UACGUAGGGGGCAAGCGUUGUCCGGAAUCAUUGGGCGUAAAGCGCGCGUAGGCGGCCCGGUAAGUCCGUUGUGAAAGUCAAAGGCUCAACCUUUGAACGCCGAUGGAUACUGCCGGGCUAGAGUCCGGAAGAGGCGAGUGGAAUUCCUGGUGUAGCGGUGGAAUGCGCAGAUAUCAGGAGGAACACCAAUAGCGAAGGCAGCUCGCUGGGACGGUACUGACGCUGAGGCGCGAAAGCUAGGGGAGCGAACAGG